AUGCCCGAGUACAAUUCCGAGCAAGCAAGCAGCAAAGAUGGAGGCAUCACAAUACCCAAUUACUUCAAAAUAUACUAUAAAGCUUUAGUUAAAAAACAGCAUGCGACCAAGUGGGCCUCCGCCGCCACCCUGAACCCCGAAUAUGACUACCUAUUUAAGCUGCUUUUGAUUGGUGGCUCGGGUGUGGUCAAGUCAUGCUUGCUUCUGCGGUUUGCUGAUGACACAUAUACAGAGAGCCACAUCAGCACCAUUGGGGUGGACUUCAAGAUCUGAACCACUGAGCUGGAUGGCAAAACCAUCAAACUUCAGAUAUGGGACACAGCUAGUCAGGAACGGUUUCGGACCAUCACUUUCAGCUACUACCGGGGUGCUCAUGGCAUCAUCGUGGUGUAUGAUGGCACCGACCAGGAAUCCUAUGCCAACGUGAAGCAGUGGCUGCAGGAGAUAGACCGCUAUGCCAGUGAGAAUGUCAAUAAGCUCCUGGUGGGCAACAAGAGUGACCUCACCACCAAGAAGGUAGUGAAAAACACCACAGCCAAGGAGUUUGCAGACUCUCUGGGCAUCCCCUUCCUAGAGACAAGUGCCAAGAAUGCCACCAAUGUCGAACAAGCUUUCAUGACUAUGGCUGCUGAGAUCAAAAAGCGGAUGGGGACUGGGGCAGCCUCAGGAGGAGAACGGCCCAACCUCAAGAUUGACAGCACCCCUGUGAAGCCAGCUGGUGGUGGCUGUUGCUAGGAGGGGCACUUAGGAUGGAACAGGAGAGGACACCUUCUCCAGAUGA